rnacentral:RNase_P_RNA from 1 species
GGCAAGUGGUGGCCCGCCGCCGGGGGCCUGGUCCCCCGGAGGAACCUCCCGACUCCCAGCCCUUCUAAGGGCAACGCUGCCCAGCGAAAAGACAAGCUGGGGCACCGGAAGAGCAAUCUUCCGGUGACCACAACCGCAACAGAGAGUAGACCCGCCAGCGGCCCUCUCAGGGUGCGGGUGAGGGGUGAAACGGUGGGGUAAGAGCCCACCAGCUACCGCAGUAAUGCGGUAGGCUAGGCGAGAGUGCGGCGGGGAGCAAGGCCGGAGGGCCCGGCCCGGACCAAAAGUCCGGUUGGGUCCGGUCGCAGCGGCAACGGCGAGGGUGGGUAACACCCACCAAGCCAGGAGCCGCCGAUGAGACGAAUGGCGGGCUAAAACAGAAUCGGGGGUACGGCCACUUGCCUCUA